GGGGCGGGGGUGGAGCCAGCCCGGGCCUCUGCUGACAGCCGUACCUGUGACUCUGAUCACUAGUCUUCGCGGGCAAGACCAGCUUUCCGGGGCCCCAGGCUAGGAAGCCCGAGUUUCUGGAACCAUAGAAGGGGAUUCUCCAAGAUAAUGAGGACAGCUGUGAAGGACAUCUGGAAACAACAAACAGUCACAUCUCCUUAAAUGGAUCCACUUUCCGAUCUUUGAAAAUACUUUAGAGCCUCCAGUUAAAGUGUAAACUUCCCAGCUAAGUGAAGAUGAAGAUCUUGUCAUUUCUAACACUUGUAUAAAAAGAGAGGUUAUUCAAACUCAAUGAGGUGCCGGAACAGUGGUCCUGAAAACUCUUGCCAAUGCAGUCUUGCAAACCAAAUCACUAUUAAAAACACAGGCUGAACAACUGCUCCAGCUUCUGCUAGAGUGCUACUGUGAGCUUUUCAGUGUAUCUCAGUGUUUUAUCUGAGCACAUUGACUUCUAAACUUUUUAUGUUAAGCAAAAAAGACAAAUAACUUACUUAAUUUACUAAGUACUUAUAAUGUGCGAAGCUUUAAGGAACAUUGUCUCCUCAUGCCCAGCCAAGAUAUGGAAACACACUUAAAGCAACCUUGGUAUUUAUAUUGAUUAAUGUAGUCGAUCAAUUUCUUGUGCAUGGCUAGGCAUUGUUCUAUGGGCUUAGAAUAUAAUGUAUCCGUGAAUAAAAUGUAAACAUCCAA
rnacentral:lncRNA from 1 species